UUUAACUUCAGAGUGCUGCCUUGACAGCCAUGGAAUUUUACUUGACAAUGGUAAAUUCUGAACCAUCUCCGUCCUUAAAGAUGUAGAAGGAAAUGUUUGCUUUUCUCCCUCCACCCCACAUACUGUCAUGAUGAAGAGAUGUAGCAGACUUUUACUUCUAAAUAAGCUCAGAUUAACUUAAGUAAAAGAGGAUAUCCGUGGAAAGACUCUGCAAUUGCUCAAAGAAUAAAGAUACAGAAUUAUGAUGUUCUAGCUGCUAGCACAUGUGUACUCAGAUAUGUUCUCCACCCCUUUCCUGGACCUGUACAAGCUGUUAGCACUUGCUCAGCAAGAUGCCAGCGGAGCUGGUCCACGCUUCAGUUCACUCCAGCAGUGGCUGCAGGAGGCAACGGACUUGUGAAACUCUGCCCUGCAACAGCCACACCAGAGUACCCUUCUUCUGCUGCAGUUUGGCUGGGAACAGAAGAACCGGCCAGCGACAAGAAAAAAAGUGACAUCCUUCUAAAUGCUGUGGAAACACUCCUAUCUAGGACUCCUUGACUUCAUCAAAAAGUUCCUUAAUCUUGUGGCCUCUGAACAGUUGUUUCUUUAUGUAAAUCAACCCUUUGCACCUUCCCCAGACCAGGAAGUUGGAACCCUCUCUGAGUGCUUUGGCAGUGCCUAAACGGGUUUUGUACUACCACAAAUCUCAGGCAUGGUGGUUAACCACAGAGAAAAACAACUUGCUAUUCAAAAUGAUUUUUCACAAAAGAAAUGACUCUAAAAAGUUUUGCCGCCAGUGGCAAGAGCCUUAAUGAAUAUGAGCUGCUCAGUAUGUGUCUCCUCUGACUCAUGUAUAUGCCUAAGAAAAUGUCCAUAGAGUGAAUGUAUUCACAAAAAAAUGUGAUAAAUGUUAACACACAAAUCAUCAUAAAAAACUGACCUUAAAAUAUGUCCAUUGCUCCUAACAAUUAUUAUGACUGUUUCGGAUCUGCCUCCAAGGGUAUAAAGGAGACUGAGACUAUAUAAACGUCUUCAUUACCAGUUCUUAAAGUCUCUAAAAUUGUUUACUCAUACUACUGCCACUCUGUUGAUUUUUUUAUGGUAAAAGUUAAUUUACUAAAGUAUUUUUGUUUUGUUUCAUUUUGUUUUGAUAGUUUAUUCAGGGAUUCUUGUUUUGUUUGGGGGAGUGAGUUAUCUUUACAUUUC
rnacentral:lncRNA from 1 species